CAAAUAAGGAUCUGCCUAACAUUUAAUAAUAGUUUCGUACAAAAUAAAGUAAUACUAUAAACUUUACAAAUUGUACUACACCUGAUGCUCAUUUCGACAUUCAUUUCUCUUUUGUGAACGCAAGACCUCAAUACUUAAAAAUACAAAAUGUAAUACAAACAUUGAAGACCAGACGAUAAGAUAAUCUAUAGAUGACUGCUUGUAAUGCAUGCAAAGUGAUAUCUUCUCAAACAUUUAUAAUUGUCAUUCUGUAUUACAGUUCACCAAUCAUAAAAUGCAACCGACCGCCUCUAAAAUUAUAAAAGUAUAGAGAAAUAUAAAAAGAAAUAUGUUCUAUUGAUGUCAA
rnacentral:lncRNA from 1 species